UUUAGGAAUUUUAAAGCCAGUUGGAGUGAAAAUGUCCUCAUCUUCUCUGGGACAGGAAAUCCUUUUUACCUACAUAGAAAAGUUACGUUAUUGGAAUUUACAUCCCUCCUCCAUAAGAAAAAAGACAUUAUCUUCUCUUCCAAAUGUCCACCAUGCUAAUUUUAUCUCUUUCUUAUUAUAUUUAACUUUAAAAAUCUUGAUCAUUAUAAUUGCUGUGGGUCGUAUAUUCACUGUGAAUAUUCUGUGAGAGAUGACAGUUUUAUUCUUAAUAACCUGCAUAUUAAGAAUUGCCAUGCCUUUUUCAUGAUUAGUGUUCAAUCCACAUGUUAAAAGAAUGAAAAAUGCAUUACUGAAUUAUCUUAUAUUACCCUUUUUUGCAGAAUCAUUCUUUGUAGUGUUAGUGAAAUAUGCCGAAUAUUAAAAUAGGAACCAAACUUUUUAUAAAAUGCUGCCUCUGCUGUCUCACAAUGCCUAAUGCUACCUCUAAACGAUAGUUAUUAUUCUUUUCUGUCAUAUAAAGAAACAUAGUCAUGCCAAUUGGUUUUCUGCCACUAUAUAUCCAGUGGGAAUCACACAGAGAAUCAAUUCAUUACAAUGAUAAAUUACACCAUUAAAUAGUAUAUUAUGCCAGAAUAAUCUAGAAGGUCAUGAAAGAAAGAUUAAGAGAUGACAAGAGAAUCUACAAUGUGUAAGAAAGUGCAUGAUACAUGAAAAAAUAGGUUUUGGUUUGAUAUCUACCAAAUAUGUUAAAUGAAUAUAUAACCCUGUAAAAAUUGAAAAAUUACAUACUUGUAAAA
rnacentral:lncRNA from 1 species